AAAAGAAACUAACAAGGAUUCCCCUAGUAACGGCGAGUGAAGCGGGAAGAGCUCAAAUAUGAAAUCUGGUAGCUUCGGUUGCCCGAGUUGUAAUCUAGAGAAGUGUUUUCCGUGCCGGCCCAUGUACAAGUCCCUUGGAACAGGGCGUCAUAGAGGGUGAGAAUCCCGUCCUUGACAUGGACCCCCGGUGCUUUGUGAUACACUUUCAACGAGUCGAGUUGUUUGGGAAUGCAGCUCAAAAUGGGUGGUGAAUUCCAUCUAAAGCUAAAUAUUGGCGAGAGACCGAUAGCGAACAAGUACCGUGAGGGAAAGAUGAAAAGCACUUUGGAAAGAGAGUUAAACAGUACGUGAAAUUGUUGAAAGGGAAACGAUUGAAGUCAGUCAUGCUCUUAGGAUUCAGCCGUUCUGCGGUGUAUUUCCUUUGAGUGGGGUCAACAUCAUUUUUGAUCGAUGGAUAAAGGCACGAGGAAGGUAGCACUCUCGGGUGAACUUAUAGCCUCGCGUCAUAUACAUUGAUUGGGACUGAGGAACGCAGCAUGCCUUUAUGGCCGGGGAUUCGUCCACGUACAUGCUUAGGAUGUUGACAUAAUGGCUUUAA
rnacentral:rRNA from 1 species